ensembl:lncRNA
GCAGUGGAGUAUUCAGACACAAAAGUCACUAUACUAUCGUAGGUGUAGGAUAAGUGGUCAAUAAGUGUUUCAUCAUACCCUCUUUGUCUAAAACGUUGGGACAUUUUUUCAUACUUAUCCUUCUUUGACUUGAUAAAGCCUACUAUUGUUGACUGCACAUCACCAGCACCUGAAAAUAAAAGGUUGUGCAUAGGGACUUCUUUCUUUUUAGUAUCAAGUAGACCCAUCCCUUUUUUUAAGUUUCGUAUUCAAAGGAAUAUAUACAGGGCGUUUACCACACCUUGGUUAAAAGUCUUCCACUAGCGCUAUCAUUUAUCUCCUGCUUCCACGAUGGGCUACGUUUGCAUUCUCUUCGUUCUUUCUUUGACAAUAUCAACCGUUGGGGGAAUAAAAUGCUACUCGUGUGUCGCCGAAGACCCCCUUUCCUGCCUUGAGACCACAGAAUGUCUCAUCCCCAUGUAUCGCUGUUACAGCCUGGAUCUGACUGGCCUUGGGGGAGGCGUGAUCAAGGGAUGUCAAUUCAGUGGUGUGUGUGCCCUGGGACAAGUCGGAGCUUGCUGCGAAGGCGAUUUGUGUAACCUUGGGAAUACCAGCAAUAGCAUCGGAUCAAGCUUCAUUCUCCUGCUGUUGUCUACUGCUGCACUGUAUUUCCUCUGAUCUCCUGAAAUCCUGUUCAUGGAGACUAUAUCCUGUUUGCGUUUAGAUUACAUUUAGGGCAUUUAGCAGACGCUUUAUCCAAAGCGACGUACAAUAAUUACAUUUGUCAUAAGAAAGAGGAACAUAACACUGUCGGUAUAGUAAGGAUGUUUCUACAUUUCCGAAGAAGAAUUUCUACGAAGUUCCUAAGAAUAUUCUUUACUGCAAUUCCUCAACAACUUCCUAAUAACGUGUUAAUUGUUCCAAUUUAGUUGUUUUUUUAAAGGGACACUGUCUAAAAAUUACUCCCAUCUAGUGGUACAAUUGUAUAUUGCAUUCAAACUAAUAGUGCUCGCUUGUUCAAAAACUACGGUGGGCAGUAUGUGCCAAGAAGCUGUGUCAUGACAUCCAGUACUACCUCAUCGAGUCAUUGGAGUGAUGAUGAGGUUCGUUAUUUCAAACAAAUAUCAAACUGCAUUGAAUCAUUAGUGUAAGCCAGUGAUUUUCAACCUUUUUUGAGCCGCGGCACACUUUUUACAUUUACAAAAUCCUUGGGCACACCAAAAUGACACAAAAUGACACUCUAACACAGUUCAUAUAAUACAUAUUGUAGUGGCGAUUUGUCCUCAAUAAAACAAUAACUUGAAAAUUAAGAAAUCAAACAAAGCAACGUAAUCAAAAUAGCCACUGUGGCACCAGGGGGGACGAAUCUUACGCAGUGCAGGGGAAAGAGUCAACUGUCCAGUCGUGAAUUUAGAUUUCUGCAGGUUUAUUUUCCGAUCUUCCAAGCAAACAAAACAAAUGUGCAACAGUGUGAACCAGCAGCCUCACUCCUUUGUCUCUCUCGUACAGCUGGUAAAAAACCAUGACCUUCUCAGUGCCUGUCUUACCUAUGUCCGCCACCUCUAUAAAUAGGCUAUAGUAAUAACUUCAAAACAAAAGCAUAAACAAACUCAAAUUAACUAAUUUAUAAUACAAACGAGAAAAUAAACAAAAGUCAUCUUAUUUUAUAUUAAGCAAACAAACUAAAUACAUGUUUUACAAUUAAAUCUAAGAACUUCAUAGCUCCAACACAUAUAGUUAAUAAUAUAGUUUCUAAAUUUAUUUAUACUCACUUAGUGUGAAACCCAGAGGCGUCGUCAGCCCCUUUUUACUGGGGCACGUGCCCCAGUAAAAGUCUCCAGUGCCCCAGUAAAAUUCCAUUGAUCAUUAUUAAAUUAAUCUGCAGAAGCGCCGCUCUCGCUAUGGAAUCGGCAGGAUUCAUCAAGUGAAUCUCCUGCUGCCUCUGGAGUCUUCAGUCGAGCCUGCCUCUUACCAGCCAAUCAAAAAACGAAAGGGGCUACAUAAAAGCCAAUCAGAAAAUACCCCUACUGUAUCUGGGUAAGAUUUAACGCAACAACCAAUGAAAAAAAUCAGUUAUUUACGGAUUCGUCCACGUGACUCUUCUGAAUGUUUCAGUGGUAAAGUGUGUAAAGUAUGACCAAGUGUUUCUUUCUGUUCAAUAGUCUAGAUAGAACUUUAUCAAUCCCCUUUAGGAGAAAUUUGUUAAUAAAACAAUAAUGGUAAAAAAAAUAAGGAAUCUCCCACUUCCGGCUUCCAUGAAAGAGAACCAUACUAAUUCACACAAUAGCGUUGAUGCAAAUCUAGCAUUAAAGGUUAAUUUAAGGAAGUUCUCUCCAGUCACGCUGAAACUAGUUUGCUAGUAGUAGCGCUUUAAUUUGCAGCGUAAGAGAAUUCUGAGAAAUCUGAAUGCUGACAAAAUUCUCAGAAUUCUGACACUGCAAUUUAUUUGCACGCUACGACUAGUGAACUACUUUAAAAAAAAAAAAAACUCGACACUGCGACCAGGCGACAAAUGACUGGGGAGAACCUUCUUAAAUGAACCUUUAAUGCUGGAUUUAAUUAUCAGAAUUCGGAUUUUAUCCAAGUAUUCUGACUUUAUUAUCAGAAUGCUGAAUUUUAUCUCACAAUUCAGAGUUAAUUAGCCUAUUCGAUUUCUGAAUUAAAAUUCUUGUGAUGAAUAAUCUACAUUUGUACAGUCGAUGUGCAGCACUUUAAUUCCCGUCAACUUUGUUUUCUAACACCAGCAUUUCCACAACUAUGCUCAUGUUCGUGACUGCUAUACAAAACCAUUUAUAGUGCAUCUAUUUUUCUGCUGGGUAGUGAUAGUCGCCCUAAAUGCAGCUUUAAUUUGGGCUCUGAAUCUGAAUAAAUGCCGCUGCUGAACUGUGUGAAUAAAUAAAGGGAACUGAAAUCUAAAGAAGACGUGUGGUUUUGAUGUACCGUGAAUUCCAGCUGAAAGUGGAACAUUGCUGCCAUCAGGGGAAAUUAAUGUAACCUAGGCAUAUUGUAAAUAGCUUUCAAUUCCUUGUUUUUUUGUUGAUCAUGUUUCGUUGGAAACCACGGGAGCUGGAAACAGCCCAGAGUAAGUCAUCUCCUUUUUUAACGUUACAACAAAUUCACAACUUGUUUGACACAAACAAUGACAACUUGAUUGCUGUUAAAGAAUGUUGCCCAUAUAAUUAGCACCAGUUUUUCAAUACUGAGACACACACACACACACACACACACACACACACACACACACACACACACACACACACACACACCAUGCGUUCACGCACACACGCGGAAAAUGAAUGAUGAAUGAAAAAUUGUCUGUAUUCAAAACUUGAAGUUUUAGUGGACAAAAACUUCCUUAACACAAAAAAGGAAAUUAUG